UUAGGAAUAUUCGUCAAUGGGGGAAACCCUGAACGAGCAAUGCCGCGUGAGUGAUGAAGGCCCUUCGGGUUGUAAAACUCUGUUGUUUGGAAAGAAAUGUAAGAUUAGGAAAUGAAUCUUGCUUGACGGUACCAUUCAAGAAAGCCACGGCUAACUACGUGCCAGCAGCCGCGGUAAUACGUAGGUGGCGAGCGUUAUCCGGAUUUAUUGGGCGUAAAGCGUGCGCAGGCGGUUUGUUAAGUCUAAAAUCAAAUCCCGAAGCUUAACUUCGGUUCGUUUUAGAAACUGGCAGACUCGAGUGUGGUAGAGGCAAACGGAAUUUCUAGUGUAGCGGUAAAAUGCGUAGAUAUUAGAAGGAACACCAGUGGCGAAGGCGGUUUGCUAGGCCAUUACUGACGCUCAUGCACGAAAGCGUGGGGAGCAAAUAGG
rnacentral:rRNA from 1 species